UACGUAGGGGGCAAGCGUUGUCCGGAAUCAUUGGGCGUAAAGCGCGUGUAGGCGGUUCGGUAAGUCGGCUGUGAAAGUCCAGGGCUCAACCUGUGAAUGCCGCUGGAAACUGUAUGGCUAGAGUCCGGAAGGGGCGAGUGGAAUUCCUGGUGUAGCGGUGAAAUGCGCAGAUAUCAGGAGGAACACCUAUGGCGAAGGCAGCUCGCUGGGACGGUACUGACGCUGAGGCGCGAAAGCGUGGGGAGCGAACAGGG
rnacentral:rRNA from 1 species